rnacentral:rRNA from 1 species
AGAGUUUGAUCCUGGCUCAGAACGAACGCUGGCGGCGUGCUUAACACAUGCAAGUCGAGUGCGCGUCUCGGUAGCAAUACUGGGAUGGCGCACGGCGCACGGGUGCGUAACACGUGGGCAAUCUGCCCUCCGAUGGGGAAUAACCCCGCGAAAGCGGGGCUAAUACCGCAUAACAUUCCGGGGACUUCGGUUCCUGGAUUCAAAGGCGUAAGUCGUCGGAGGUGGAGCCCGCGCCCGAUUAGCUAGUUGGUGAGGUAACGGCUCACCAAGGCAAUGAUCGGUAGCUGGUCUGAGAGGAUGGCCAGCCACACUGGAACUGAGACACGGUCCAGACUCCUACGGGAGGCAGCAGUGGGGAAUCUUGCGCAAUGGGCGAAAGCCUGACGCAGCGACGCCGCGUGGGGGAUGAAGCAUCUCGGUGUGUAAACCCCUUUCGACUGGGACGAAUGCCUCGCAAGAGGAGUGACGGUACCAGUAGAAGAAGCCCCGGCUAACUACGUGCCAGCAGCCGCGGUAAGACGUAGGGGGCCAGCGUUGUUCGGAAUUACUGGGUGUAAAGGGUUCGUAGGCGGUGUAGCAAGUCGGGAGUGAAAUCUCUGGGCUUAACCCAGAGGCUGCUUCCGAAACUGCUGUGCUGGAGUGUGGGAGAGGCGCGUGGAAUUGCAGGUGUAGCGGUGAAAUGCGUAGAUAUCUGCAGGAACACCCGUGGCGAAGGCGGCGCGCUGGACCACUACUGACGCUGAGGAACGAAAGCUAGGGGAGCAAACAGGAUUAGAUACCCUGGUAGUCCUAGCCCUAAACGAUCAGGACUUGGGGUGCCACCCGUUCGGGUGUCGUCCCGGAGCUAACGCGUUAAGUCCUGCACCUGGGGAGUACGGUCGCAAGACUGAAACUCAAAGGAAUUGACGGGGGGCCCGCACAAGCGGUGGAACAUGUGGUUCAAUUCGACGCUACGCGAGGAACCUUACCU